UGGGGAAUUUUGGACAAUGGGCGAAAGCCUGAUCCAGCAAUGCCGCGUGUGUGAAGAAGGCCUUCGGGUUGUAAAGCACUUUUGUCCGGAAAGAAAUCCUUGGCUCUAAUACAGUCGGGGGAUGACGGUACCCGGAAGAAUAAGCACCGGCUAACUACGUGCCAGCAGCCGCGGUAAUACGUAGGGUGCAAGCGUUAAUCGGAAUUACUGGGCGUAAAGCGUGCGCAGGCGGUUUGCUAAGACCGAUGUGAAAUCCCCGGGCUCAACCUGGGAACUGCAUUGGUGACUGGCAGGCUAGAGUAUGGCAGAGGGGGGUAGAAUUCCACGUGUAGCAGUGAAAUGCGUAGAGAUGUGGAGGAAUACCGAUGGCGAAGGCAGCCCCUGGGCCAAUACUGACGCUCAUGCACGAAAGCGUGGGGAGCAAACAGGAUUAGAUACCCUGGUAGUCCACGCCCUAAACGAUGUCAACUAGUUGUUGGGGAUUCAUUUCCUUAGUAACGUAGCUAACGCGUGAAGUUGACCGCCUGGGGAGUACGGUCGCAAGAUUAAAACUUAAAUGAAUUGACGGGGUCAUAGCUGUUUCCU
rnacentral:rRNA from 1 species